rnacentral:tRNA from 1 species
AGGAUAGUAGUUAAUGAUAACGUUUGACUUGCAUUCAAAAAGUAUUGAAUAUUCAAUCUAUCUUA